UUGAUUUGUAGUUGAGGGUGAAAGAGAGUGUGGAGGCCCAAUUAAUUAUGCUAUUUAAACCGUAUGGCGGUUGCCUUUUUCUCUAUAUCGCUCUCCCUCACUCAUUCUGUCUCCAUGAAUUCAGUUCGGCGGUUUGGAUUUGAGUGACAAGAACGAUGAUCCAAAGUUGUCUGUGCAACUUGGGAACUGCAGAGUCUGGUAAUCCCUUCAUCAUCACAAUAAUCAUGGCUGUGAUAACAUUCUCAAGUGUUUCUAUUAGAUGAUCUUCACACCGAGUUGCAAUUUCAUGCUGGUAAUGAAGAUGGUGGGGAGUUUUGCUCGAAUUUUGUCUUGCUAUUAAAAAAGCUGGGAAAUAAGAUAUUCAUAUUUGUGAUGUACAUGACUUUGAGAACAGCAAGAUAACUUGCUGAGUUGCUGAUGACACGUGCCAUUUGUUGACUGUUGUAAGCAACAAGCUUUCUAAACAUGUUCGUGGUACUCACAAUGGUUUAAGGAUUAAAGUGUGGAUGCAAAAACCUAGCAACUUAGUAAUGGGUCCAUUGAUGGAGUUAUACAAUAUGCUAUCGUGACAAAUGUUAACAACUCAACUGCAAUUGAUCAAAAUUGUUGUCCUGGUAGCAAAAAAUCUCCCCAUCAGGUGGUAUUUCCGUUAGUAAAAGAAGUUGUGGACUUUGAGCGGCAAAUUAAUAUGCUUAAAGGGUUAAUAAUUAAAUCACUUCUAAUGGGUCAGAUUUUGACUUUUAUAGUCGCUUCUUCUGCCAUAAUAUAGUGCUAAAGUUUAGUUUGGUGUGGUAGAAAACUUCGACCUUCUCUUUGCUUCUCUCUUUUUGGACCCUGUUUGUGGGAGUCGUGCCUUGACAGCUUAUUGGUACAGGACGAUGGGAAAAUGUGAACUUGUGAGGCUUACCAUAAAAGUAUAGAUAAUAUUGCAGAUCCAAUUCCGUGAGAAAGGUUUAUAAUGUACUCAAUCAUACAGCCGGAAUGCACAAUGCUCUGCACAAUACUCGAGGUGGGCAGUCGCUCUUGACUGGUUACUUCACUAACAUGGUUACUUCAAUAAACCAUUCUGAUGGUCUAUGUGUAGACACUAAAGGUGCAUGAUGGCUGGAUAGAAUGUUAGGUGAAGUGCGUGGAAGUAACUCGAGUGACAACUAUGACAUUACAAAUGUUGCUUCAGAAAUACGAGACAGGAUUGGAGCAGUGGCUGGGAAGGCAGCAGCAAAGGAACUUUCCAUGAUCAUCACCUUUCAUUUAUUGUGAAUAUGAUUGUAGGUAGUUUUGGUACGGAUGAUGUCAGGUUGGGUUGAUAAUUGGAGGAGUGUCUUAUAAUACUGGAGAUUAUAUCAAUGCUAUUGUAACAGACAAAAGGCGGAGAUAAUAAGCAAUGUCUAGUAUCCCGGAACUAUGGCUAAAGCAACAAUAUUUCUUUGUCCUGACAUCAUUGCAAGAUAUUAUUCGGGGGUUUAAAGAUGUCCAUGGAAACUCUGAUAACUUCAGGGACAAGGUUGCUUUACUGUUGAAUCUACUCAUCCAUCUAUUUCCAUAGCUGGCUCAUGUGGGUGCUUCGUGAUGAAGAACAUUUGGGUUGGAAAAGGGCAUGAAGUAUCACAUUGCAAGUUGUUUCUUUUACCACACAGAGUACAACCAGGCGACCAGCAUCAUUGGAAAGUUUUAUGGAGCUUUUGUGUGAAGAAACCGAACUCAAACCAAUUAUUGAGAAUUAGGUAUUAGAAACUUAAUCCAGACCAAUUAUUAAGAAUCAGGUAUUAGAAAUUGAACCCACUUACUGAAAGCGAGCAAUCCAGCAUUUAUUGCUGCCCGGUCAAGGUUUGAGGAAUUGACUUCUAAGAUCAACCAGUUGGAGUCACCCAAUUCUUCUAAUUAAGAUAAUGAAACCGAUUCAUCCAUAGAUCAGUUGGUUCUUUUAGUUAAGAUGAUGAGGCAGGUCCGCCUACAGAUGUCGUUUCUUCCGACCCUUUGAAACUGGUCAGUUAUUCUGAUUAGGAUAAUGACGUAAAGCUGGUGGCAAAGUUGAACUGAAGCAGAUGAAUACUUGGCUUCCCUUAGUUAAAAGGAAUUUCAGAACGGUGGCUUAGAGUGUGGGACCGAGUUGUCCAUCACAUCCACACUUGACUCCCCAGAUCAGUCACUUGAAGUUGAGAACAAGAAAUUUGAAGAAGCUAAAGUCUUAUAUGAAGCAGUCGGUUAUAUGAACAGUAAAGGCAAUCAGAACAUCGACAUUGUUAUGCCUGACAAACACAACACUGUUAAUAUGUGUAAGAAAUUUUGUUUUGUUGUAUUUGUAUUGAGUUUAGUAUAAUCUUAUUAUGUCUGCUUGUGUAAAUUCCGCUUCCAUCCCAUGUGGUAUCCAUAUGAGUUGGGCGCCUCAACAAAAAAUAGUACCAGCUUCAUACAAUACCUAUUACGUAUAGAAGUUAGAUACACACAUUAGCGAUAUUUAGAGCUGGAUACAUAUUUUACAUACCGGGCUAUGAUUGGAUACACUUCCAAUCACUUGAGCCUUCAUUUAUAAACAUAUAUUUGCAUGAUGUAUAAAGCGGGGUUGAAGUUAACAUUCAAUCACAA